GGGUGCCGCCGGGCGCCGCGGGCCGGUCCUCGGGGCUGCCGCUCCUGCCGGCCGGGCCGCCGCCCCUCUGGAGGCGCUCCACCGCCAGGAGGUGACUCUGCGUCUCCUCCAGAAUCUUCUGGGCCAGCUCCUGCGGGUCUAGCUUGGGGCUGCUUUCUUCUUGGGACUUGACGGUGCUGUCCGUUUCUGUGCUGGACUGGUCUGAUUCUCCCGUAUCUGAACUGGCCAGUUUUCCGACCUUUUGGAAGGGGGAGUUGGGGCUGGGGAUCAGAGUCAUCUUCACUGGAGAAUUCGGGGUGCUCAUGCUCCCCUUGGAGCUCACGGACACCUGGACACCUCCAGCCGCCCCGACUCGGGCGGGCUUGUGCUCCGGUGAGGCGCGCGCCUGCCUGCUUUCCUGGUAGGCCGCCAGGGGCUCGGUGCUGAUGAUGGAGAAGCCCUCGUACUCCUCCUCCUCCUUGCUCCCCGCAGGGCGGGGCUGGGGGCACAGCGGGCCCCGGGGCAGAGUGGAGCGCGGAGGGUAGGCGUUCUUGGGCCGGUCGUAGUCCUGCCGGCCGCGGGCGCCCCCCGCCUCCGACCCGGCCUCGGGCUUGGAGACGAAGCUCAUGGAGGAGGCAAUGGAGCUCAGGCUGUACACGGAGAUGGCGUCGGAGGCGAUGCUGUCGGCGCCGGUCGGGGAGAAGGGCGGGUGCUGGUAGCUCAAGGGCAGGGCGUUGGAGACAGACUGGGCGGAGGCCAGAGACUCCAGGGAGGACGAGCUGUCGAGGCUGAGGCGCUUGGGCAGCUCAGUAGAAUCUAAGACAAGACAGAGGUGCCCAGAGGGCAGUUAGAAUGUGCUGUGGUUUUGAAAUUUUUGUCAAAAUCACAGGCGUCCUCAAGCAGAGAAGCCCGCAGGGAGCUGUGCAAGUGCUGCUCACACUCGAUUUGAACUUCUCUUCCGCUCCGGAAGACCAUGGCCCCGAAAACUGCCUGUGGCCUGAGCAGUCGGGCUGCUCGUCCCUAGUUCCGCCGCCCCCUGCGUCACCUUCUCGGCCCUUGGCAGCGCCCGUCUCUACCACAGCUGUUCUAAUUGAUGACUUCUUCCUGACCAACUUCACAGAGAUCGAACCCUAGAGGAGCAAAGAAUAUGAAUCUCAGCUUCCCUAGGGAGGAGCCCGUGUCCUGAAGAGGAGAGCCGCAGGGCUCCCUGCACUGUCUCCCAGGCACCGGGCAGGCGCUGCUCUCUGACCUGCGUGCACCCUCGCCCCGAAUCCCAAUCCGUGUGGCUCCCUCCUGGCCCUUCCCGGAGCACCAGCUGCUCUCCUGCCCUGAAUUUUGUUCCCGAGAGAGGAUGGUCACAUGAUGCCUCAUGAGAAUCAGCUGCUUUCUCCAUUCUUUCCCAGAACAGUCCACUAGAAGACUUUAAGGACAAAAACUGGCCACUCCAUUCAGAAUUGGGUCCAAUAUUUAAAGCUGGAAGCUUCUCAAGGGCAAAGACAGUGUCCUCAUACGUGGUCAGCAUCUGCCACCAAGGGCUUUGGAACAAGCGGGCUCUGAUGGAGAAUCUGCCUCCUUGGCUAAAACCACCCUGCAGGGACCGCACUCUGCUCUGCUAAAGCCCAGGGGACUGUUUCCCGAGGCUAAUGGUUCUCAUGAGACUCCCGAGCGGGAAGCGGGCUCAAGCCACUGCCACUGCACCAAGACUUACAAAGACACCUUGUAGAGCCUCCGCCACACAUCUCCCUGGGAAGCGCAUAUGCAGAGGAAGCCAAAAGCAGACGCCAUGGCUAAGGGCUAAGUCUGCAGACAGGAUUUAGGUCCUGAGAAGCCCUCUGCCCUGCAAGGGUGCUCUCAGCCUCCUUGGGGGUCACUGAGCUCUGCCUGAAACAGCGGACACACUUGGUGCUACCGGGGCAGGACCCGCCACCCCAGGCCCUUCCCUCUGAUGUGUGUUCUGGUGACGGGUCUGUACGCUGUGCAUCUCAUGAUAUAGGCACCAAAGGAGAAAUGUGUUUAUAUUUUUAUUCUCAUGCAGAUUCUGAUACUGGUCUGACACUGUAAUUCCUCUUGGGAAUUUGGUUCACUUGAGGCGCUACCUCAGCCUUCUGGUUGCCAUGGGACAUUCUCCCCUCUGAACUCAAACAUAAACAGUCCCUGAAAGCAACUGAAAGGUCUCAGAGAACUCAGCAUUUAAAAACAAAUAGCUAAUUAAUAUAAAUGUUUCAGUUAGAGACCUCUACUUCUACCAAAACAAUUUGACUUGGUUACUCUAACGGAAGUAAAUAACUGGCAGCCCUGUGAUGGGUUGUGAUGGCUCCUGCUAGGUGCUGAGGGCUGGAAAGAGGGGAUUUCUUGGAGCCUCAGAACCCUCAAGAGUGAGGGAGUCAAUUCUCCAGAUGCCAAGCCUGCAGAGAUAUUUCCUCCCGGGGUCUCAGGCCAUGGGAUUCAAGAAUAAGCGUGUGCACACUGACUCAACCCUUGAGUAUCGGUGGAUUUGGAAAAUAGAGAAGUAGAGGCCAUCAAUGAAAAUAACCCACCAUCCCAACACCAGGGAGAGCCAAUGACAGCCCUGGAAAUAUCCAGUUCACAGGCGAGGAGGGCUAACUCUGUCACACCCACACUGAAGGGAAGUGUAGGCCCUGCAUGAGGAAGACUGCUUUUCCUUUAUUAAAAAAAAAAGGACUUGGCUCCAUC